GCUGAAGCAGCGGGUGGCCAAGAUCUCGUGUAUUAGAGGUCUAGCUGGACGUCCCAGUUCGUGUGCAUCGGGCAGUCCUUGAAGUCAGAGGUUUUGUACUGUAUGUACAUAUACAUCAGAGAAAUAGCCAGAUAUUGAAAUUGCCAGAUGAUUGUGUGGAAUCUGGAAGAAAUUGUUGGGCACCUCACCUUGGAAAUCCUGCUGAACUUGAAUUCAGCGGUCAUGUGUUCUUGGUGUUAUGCCAGUGGCGUCGGCAACGGUGC